rnacentral:rRNA from 1 species
CGAUACUUGGUGUGAAUUGCAGAAUUCAGUGAAUCAUCGAAUCUUUGAACGCACAUUGCGCCCCUUGGUAUUCCGGGGGGCAUGCCUGUUCGAGCGUCAUUACAACCCUCAAGCUCUGCUUGGAAUUGGGCACCGUCCUCACUGCGGACGCGCCUCAAAGACCUCGGCGGUGGCUGUUCAGCCCUCAAGCGUAGUAGAAUACACCUCGCUUUGGAGCGGUUGGCGUCGCCCGCCGGACGAACCUUCUGAACUUUUCUCAAGGUUGACCUCGGAUCAGGUAGGGAUACCCGCUGAACUUAAGCAUAUCAAUAAGCGGAGGA